UACGUAGGAAGCAAGCGUUAUCCGAAUUUACUGGGCGUAAAGUGGGCGUAGGCGGCCUUUCAAGUUGGAUGUGAAAUCUCCUGGCUUAACUGGGAGGGGUCAUCCAAUACUGCUAGGCUUGAGGACAGCAGGAGAAAGUGGAAUUCCCGGUGUAGUGGUGAAAUGCGUAGAUAUCGGGAGGAACACCAGUGGCGAAGGCGGCUUUCUAGGCUGUUUCUGACGCUGAGGCCCUAAAGUGUGGGGAGCGAACAGGAUUAGAUACCCUGGUAGUCCACACCAUAAACGAUGAAUACUUGGUAUAGGGAGUUUCGACCCUCUCUGUGCCGAAGCUAACGCUUUAAGUAUUCCGCCUGGGAACUACGGCCGCAAGGCUAAA
rnacentral:rRNA from 1 species